CCUUUACACCCAAAUUAAAACCCUUUAAAAACCCCUAAUUACUACACCCUAACCUAACAACGAACACACACAAAGGAGAUCUCUCAUUCUUAUUCCAGAAAAAGCUAAAGAACGAGCAGCCAUCUCCCUUGAAGAAAAAGGGCUCUCACUUUCAUUUCCAAAAGAAGCUAACGCCAACUCUCCAUCUCAAGAAAGAAAGGUCAGCAACACCCUACCAUAACACUUCAUCAUCCUCACCAAAGCCUCACUGCUUUUGGCCAUAGAAAACAGUUUCAAAAUAGCCAUUGAAACCACUCCAAAAUCAGCUGAUAAACAUCACAAGAUCCAUCGUCGAACAAGGUCCGUUUGAGCUUUUGUCGAGUCCCUGUUGCCGGCGUCGAGGUCCCAAUUCUUGUUCUGUGUUCACGUUACUGUUUUGGUUUGGGGAAGGUCAAGUUCGGUCCCUAGCUCGAUUGAAGAUCGUUGUUGUAGUAUUUCCGUUCCUCUGUAAUUGUUUGCAAUUUUGAAUUGACAAUGACUAUGAAAAGUAGAAAGCUACAGGUACUUGCACUUCUGCUGCCUUUUUCUUUUGCUCAUAGUGUCCUUUGAAUAUUAUAACAUAGUACUCUAUAGCCCAAUACCUAAGCUAUUAGCAUUACAUUACUCUUUAGCAUGUUAAAUUGUGCCUUCCUUCAUUUCUUGUUAAUACUGAUUUGUUAGGUGAAGAGAUUUGAAGAGCAUUUGUUCUAAUAACUGUUAAGUUUCUUUUUUAAACAUUUUAUUCUAAUGAUUUUAAUUUUUUUAUAAUUCAUGACCUUGCAACCAUCUCAAAUUAAUUUUAGGAUGAAUAAUUCAUAAAUCUUGUAGUUUGCUUUAGGCGCGAUUAAUAAAUCAUCGUGACUAUGGGUAUGGUUACCGUGGCAUGAUUACGAUACGUAAAUUCUAAUUUGGGUGUGCAUUUCAUGUGACCCAACCAUAACUUCAAACAUUAAUAAAAUAAACAUGUUGUAGAUCGCGAGUGCAUUUCAUGUGACGCCGUUUGCAAUGUGUACCAAAAUGACAAGUGUAUGAUAAUCGUGACUUUUUCUAGAAAUAAUUUCAUAAAUAAAUAAAAGUGGUAAUGGAGUUAAAAAUACACGACAAGGUUUUUAAACAUGUGAUUAAUCAGAUAAUUAUGCCUAUUAUUAAUAGUUGAGCAAUCAUGCUAAAACCACAGAACUCGGGAAUGUCUAACACCUUCUCUCGGAUUAACAGAAUUCCUUACCCAGAUUUUUGUGAUUCGCGGACUGUAAAACAGAGUCAAACUUCCUCUAUUCGGGAUUUUAAACCGGUGACUUGGGACACCAUAAAUUAUCCCAAGUGGUGACUCUAAAUUUGAAUAUAAAUAAUUCUGUUUCGAUUAUUGUCACUUUAAUUGGAAAAAGUCCCUAUCCCCUUCGGGAAAAAAGAGGUGUGACAACAUCUGCUGUUGUUUUUUGUUUUUAGAGGUACAUUUGAAGUUUUUCCUUUUUUUGUGUUUGUCAUUCAUCUUUUUGAGGUGUUGUGUCAUUACUUUGGUGUUGCUUUUCUUUUUGGUGUUCUGCAGCCUUUGUGUUGUCAAUUUGGUCUUCUCUCCCUUUCUUUGCUUUUUCCUGCUAUCUAUUAUUUUGGUGUUGUUUGCUUGUUUCUGCAUUUUUUGUGAUCUUUUACUGAUUAUUGGACUGUGAGAAUGUUGGUGCAGUUGCUUCUUCCUCCUUUCUCUUCCGAGCUUCAAAUUCUCUGAUCUUAAUUAGGCAUGCCUGAAGAUAGUGGCCCAGGUGUCUGUAGUGAGUAUAGUAGGAAGGAAUGUUAUCAUAUUGGACUUCAAGCCAUUGGCCAUCUCUAUUAACAUCUUGAUCCUCAUCAUAGCCUAACCAGACAUGGGUUGGCCUAUCCUUGGUGAGAUCAACCUACAUUUUUACCUUGACCACACUACCUCUAGAUUUUUGAAAAGAGGCAAGAUCCAAGAAAAGGACUUUCCCAAUUGGAGAUAACAAUGGAGUGAGUAUCUCCAUAUAAUAUAGGUGCC
rnacentral:lncRNA from 1 species